ACCCUGGGCUGAAGGAAGAGCUUAAUGGAUUUUUCUUAAAGGGACAGGCUUAGCUUGUUCCCCAGUGUCACUGAUUUCUCAGUCCUAACCAGUUUCUACCUAAAUGACUGUUUUAUGUUAUUUGAAGACUCUUAUUAAGAACAGGGAGAGUCCCUGUUUAUGGUUUUGUUUUUUGUUUUUUGUUUUUUGUGUGUGUGUGUGUGUGUGUGUGUGUGUGCCUGAUUAGGGAGAAUAAACUGGUCAAUUUCACCCGCCCCACUAAACCUCCUCCUCCAGGGCUGCCAAGGCUGCAGGGGAAAGAAAGACAAAAAGAAGAAAACCCUACAAACAAAAGCAAAGGCAGAACACACAGCCAUAAACAACUCCAAACACACAUUGCUACUUUUUUCUCCUUUAAAAAAAAAAAAAAACAAACCCUGGGCAUCAAAAUUAGAACGACAAACUUGCGGCUUUAAAUAACCAGCAGAAGAGGGGCUGUGAAGGAAGAGGCAGUGGUGGCUCAUUCUUCCUGCAGCCUCCCAUAGCCCAGGGACUGCACCCUGGGCCCUACACCUUAUAUCCCUGCCAGGUGCACUGCCCACAUGCCCCAGCCUAGAGGUUAAAGGGCCCAGCUCUGGGGAUUCUGGAGACCUGCUUGGGGUCACUCUGGGCAGCUGGGCCUCCCUGGAGGAACUGGCCAUGCACCCUGUAGCUUCCAGGUGAUGGUGUUAGAGAUGAGAGCUGCUUUUCAUUGACGUGAGGAGAGGCAGGGGACAGGGGGCAUCCACAAGCCUUGCCAUUUUUGUUCCCACGGAGACUCUCUGUUUCCUGUCACUGAAGCAAUUUCAAUAGGUUCUGGUACAAAGGAGGCAGCUUCUGAAGGAAAUGAAAUUUUAAAUACCGCCUCAGUUUAUCUACCCUCUAUGUUCAGUUCCUCUCCUGUCCUUCUCAGAAAAGCACGGGCAGCUCUUUUCUUAAUCCCCUCUGUCCUCUACUCCUGCCUUUAAAUCUCCCAGGGAAAUGUAGGGUGAGCGAGAUUAAAAAUAGAUCAAUAUGGUCAGAGGGCCCAGGGCUAGGAGCCGGGCACAGAAGGGUUGUGGAUGGGAAAGGGAAGGGGGGUGUUCCUUUGUGAACGAGAUCUUUUAUAGUAGAAGCAAAUGAGAAUCCGAGCCUAUGUUUCUGCCCUCCGAAGGGCGAUUGCCACGGUUGAAGGGUGUGGGCUGUGGCCGGCUCUGGGGACCGUUAGGGUGCUUUUGCUCUGAGCCCCCACUCCCCCACUCCCGCCUCCCGCAGCAAGCGCCCCUCCCAAAGCCCCAAAGCUGGCUGGGGAGUGUGCGGCCGCUGGCGUGUUUUGCUGCUGCCUAGGUGCUGUUUGGAGGGGCCUGGAAGCCGCCUGCCUUUUCAGGUGACCCUCUUGGCGCAAUGUGGGCCAAAUAGUGAAGGGACCAGCCAGGGUGUGUGGGGCUGAGGGGUGCAGAUUCGGUUCCUCGAUGGCCCAUUUGGAGCUGGGCCUGUUCGAAACACGGCAGUAGGGAGCGCGCGCGGCGCUAGGGACACGUGUUGCCUGAAGCAGUGGGAAACAAGUGGGGGCGGGGUGGGGUGGGGGAGCAGGGUCUGGAAUAAGGGUUUCUGACAUUCGUCGUGGGGCGGGACAGGCAGCAAUUGUGCCAUCUAUGUUUUGGGUAAAUGUUUCCCAUCCGUAGGCACACGCGGUAACAGACGUGCCACCAACCUUGCACUAAAGACAAAAUUGAUUCUGAUUCCGGGAACACGGGCUCAGCCAGGCUGAACUCGCUUGACCCGCCCUCCCCUCGGUCCCGGGACAUCGCUGGGGGUAGGCGUCGUCUGUGGCUGACUGUGGGAACGCAGACGCGCAAACCACGUGUAAGAAUCAAGGCUCGGUGGGGCCGCGGCCCUGGUUAGGUCAAGUCCAGUUUCAAACCCAAACCAUUGAGAUUCAGAAAAGCCGGCCAGGCGUCCCCAGGCUCAGGAAUCCGCGCCACGCCAGGUACAGCGGAAUUCGUUUCUGUUCCCCGCACGCGUCCCAGCAGCGCAGGAGUCGGUUUCGCCAGGACAUUCCGGUUGGCUUGUUGGUUUGAAAGUUGAAGCCUCGGGGUAGUAAAAUUUGGCCACAAAAUCUCAAACCUCACUAACCCUAGACAAAAUAAAAACAGAAUAGGCCACAAAAUAAACCAACUUAGGGCACUUUCUUUGGUGAUCGCGGGGCCCUUGGAGCGAAACCUGGAAGGAGUGAGUUUUUCCUCCUCUAAUUCUCUGCGCACAGCAAGACCCCAAUGAGAAUGUUAGAACAGUCUCCUCUCCCACUGCCCACUAUUUUCUCCCAAACAUCCCCAAACCCGCCGCAUCCACUGUUCCGGGUGAGGGUGGGGGGCAACAGGCAUGGCAGGUUUGCCUUGAGGCCGAGCUCCCGGCAUGAAUUAGCUUCACCCGAGAAUGUUGGAUUCUUAGUGCAGACAAAAUCAGGGAAAACGCGGCUGGGGAGCCCCGGGCCCCCUCUCGGGAGUCAACCCGCCCGGCGCGAAUGGGACAUCUCCUGAGCCCCACGCCAGGGGACUGGAAGGCAGGAGAAUGCUCGAGGUUCGCGCAGGGUGGAACCUUUUUUUUUUUUUUUUAAUCUAAAUAAAAAAUAAAAUUGAACAAAACUAAACUCCAAGUCCGCAGGUCCCCGCUGAAAGCGAGGUGGGGGAGAAGGGGGCGGGAACGGCCCAGGCACAGAGAGUGGAGGAUGCGAAACGAACUCCGUCCCCUGCACAGUCAGCGCCUUUGGGGGCUCCAGCGCCGCGCGCUUCCACGGCAAGGUCUGCAGGGCGCGCCAGAGAACUCGCCCCAAGUCAUGCAAGGGAGAAAAUGAAACUCUCCAGUGACCUCUAUCAGACAAGCUGAAAAUUGAACCCCCCUUUCCUGCAAGCUUCCCAAUCCUGUGACUCUGAUUUCCAGUUCAGACAAUAAAGCUUUAUUUUGUAAUUA